UCUAGGGAGGGUAAGGGGCCGAGGUCGGCAGCAUUAUCUUCCGUGGACCGUGGGCUGUGAGCUUCCCAGAGGGGCGAGACCCCAUCAUUAGCCUCAUCGUGCGCACUGCCUUCCUAGUGUUCAGCUCCAGAAAGCUCCGCGGUGCCAGUCACUUCGGAGGCUUCCUGGGACAUACUCUAGUACUAAGAGAAAAAGAGGAGGUAGGUUUUGCAGUGUCCAGAUCCAGGGACAUCUCCUAGCUGGGGGAGAGGGAGAUUCCAUGGCCCUUCAGGGACCUUUCUGUCCAGAUUCUCAGGUCAAGACAAAGUGCAAACAGUUAACUCCAAAGGAAAAACCUUUUGAAAAAGAAUCACAAGGAGUAACCCAGAAAGUUUUCCUAAGAGGCAAUCCAGAGAAGUCUGAGUGUCAACUAGCUUAUGGGACUGAGAUAGCCACAGAACAUUCAUGGGGGGGCAGGAAUCACAAUAAAGGGCAAGAGGAAGUUCUCCCAAAAGAGAGGUUCAGGGCAAGUGACCAGCUUUCUGCUCAAAACCAGUACAGCAGAGAAAGAUGAGGAAUGUCCCAAAUUAAAGAAAAGUGUGUCUCUGGGCACAAGUCUGCUGCUUGUCAGAGGGACAGGCCAGGACAGAGCGCCACUAGAUGGAGGACAUGUGGCCAAGGCUUUCUGUGGGAGCCAGAAAGUGGACAGGAGACAGAUCCUGCGUGGAUCAAACUCCCUGGGUGGAUGUAUUAUGUGUAGAAAAUCUUUCAGCAAAAAUUCACACCUGUGCCAGGCGUGGUGGUGCACCCCU